GAGGAUAUAGCUCAUGGGUAAAGUGUGUGUUUAGCAUGCAUGAGGUCUUGGGUUCAAUCCCCAGUACCCCCA
rnacentral:tRNA from 1 species